GAAGCUGGCAGACUGACUAUGUCAGUCGACCCUGAGCUGAGCCAUGCCAACUCUGCGGGACGGAAUCAUCCAUAUGUCAGCCAGAUGCUGUUAUUCCUAUUUGUUUUGACCUUGAAUGACAACACCAACACUUGACCUUUGUCCUGAUUGCGGGUUUGAGGUAGGACCGAAGUGCAGAGGAGAACUCCAGGACACGGUGAAUGAAGAUGGAAAUUGGACCAGCGAUCAUGGGAGCAAUGUGCAUGCUCAUAACACACUUUCUGAAGCCACAAAUGAAGCCCUGUGUGAUUAUUGGUGCAGCUGUGAACAGGACAACUACUGCAAGAACUUAUGGGACAUGUCUAAAUUUCACCCACAGUCAGUCCUACACUAACACCGCCAGGAAUAAGUACGUUUACUCUGUGUAAUUAAAUGUAUCCAUCCACAAUCCGCCUGCCAAUGUCCUGCUACUGCUUUGGUCCUUCCCCACCGCAAGUCAUGACAGUUGAACCCAAUGUUGAGAAAGACCAGGCAGUGAGCGAGGAAAGGAUGACUGUUUGAGUACCUUAGUCGGCAGGCGGAGAUGAACUCGCAUCAGGCUAAAGAGGAAAAGCAACAAGUCGGCUGGAAGCUUCAGCCUCUGCCUCCACUGAGGGUUGGCUGGAUACUUCAGCACCUGUUUUCGCUGAGGGUGAGCCGGACGCCUCAGCUCAUGCAUCCACUGAGGGUCAAAUGGACACCUGUCACCUUCAUCAUUGCUGCUGUCUCCUUCUCAGUCGUUGCUGGCCACCGAGGUCUCAACAUCACGGCUGCCCGCCUGGUCUUUGUGCCUCUUUGGAAUGACCUCCGGGUUGCCCGCCUGAACUCUGCGCCUGCUCAGGAUGAUCUCAGGGUCAUCCGCCUAAACUCUGUGCUUGCUCAGGACGUCCUCCUGGCCGUCUGCCUGAACUCUAUUUUAGGUUGUUUUGUUUUCCUUGUUUUUUUUCGUUUUGGACUCUAGUCAGGCAUCUGGUAUCCGCCCCUAAGGGCCUGUUUUCCAUGUUGUUCUGUUAAUCCUCUGUUGU